rnacentral:antisense_RNA from 1 species
GGCAGGGUAUAGGGAGAUCACAAGGGUUAGUGCAGUUUCCUGAGACUGCUAACAUGGCCUGUUUCCCCUAGGACUGAAGAAGGUCCCUGGAGGGGAGGGAAUGGGAAGAUACAGGUUCUGGAAAUCUCAGUGAGGCUGAAGAGUGAGUUCCUCCCAAGAACCUGGAAAUAAGAGUGGCUCCUGAGAGUUACAAAAAACCCACCUGGAACACAUGUGGGAGUAAAUCCAAAAUGGCUGGUCUGUAAAUGUGUGACUGAGUGUUUGGGAACCAACUAAAGGCUGUCAAGGGUGGUGGCUGAGGACGCCUCUGGGAGGUUGGGCUGGAGGGGGACCCUAUUGGGUGAACAGAAAUCCCAAUUGUAUUAAGUAAACUAAUAAAGGUAAAGCGUUUACUGUAGUGUCCAGCACUCAGCAAGCACUAA